AAAAAAUAAUUGCUCACAUUUAUCAAAAAAGAAAAAGAAAAGGAAAAACGAGUUUGUGGGCAAUGAGGUGUUGUAGCACCCAAAAGUACGAGUAAUGCAUACCAACUCCUGUUCAACAUAACCUAACUUGUAUGAAAAUCUCAACAAGCUAGCAGUUCAAGAAUUUAUCAUGGGAUGACCUGUCUGAUGAGAAAGAGAUUGAAGACCAGAUAUCUUAAGCAAAUGAACAGUGUAGUGAGAAAUAAUGCUCCUUUUUCUCAUCUCUUCUGCUCACAAAUGCCAGCUAAUGAUAAUCUUAUUUCUCCUACCUAUUCUCUCAGUUGUGAGGAUAUGCUCAGAGGUUGCAGUAUUGUGUGGCUGAUAGAUUCCCAUGGGAUGGCAUUCUAAUACUUUCUGUCCUGGCCCCUUUAAUUGAAUAAAAGUUUGCUUCUCAGUUUGUCUCUAUUGUGCUCCAUCCUCUUCUAAUCCACUUGUUUGAACAUAAUUAGCAGACAAAUUAUGUAAUAAAAU
rnacentral:misc_RNA from 1 species